rnacentral:tRNA from 1 species
ACCUGGCUGGCUCAGUCAGUAGAGAGCAUGUGACUCUUGAUCUCACGGUUGUGGGUUUGGACCCCACUUUGGGUA